AGAGUGUGCUUUGCAGAGUGGUACAUUCAUGGAUGGCCGCCCUACAUUCACAUCUCUCUAUUGUUUCCAGGCCUGCUGCUGAUAGAAAAGGUGAGAAGAUCCACACAACAAGAUUGUGACACCCCUUGGUCUAGUGUGUCUGUGUGCAAAAGUGUCUCCUUUCAAGACCUGCUUAGACGUAUUUUGAUUAAUUGAUCCAUUCCCUUCACAGCUGGGAGCCAGGUGGCUAGAUCCCGUUGCUUAGGAUGCUAAAUUCAGGGUCUCACAGAAGGAUGGGGAAGAAAAACACCCUGUAUAUUAUUACACCACAAAAAAUUGCAGGCUCGAUUUUUUAUAUUUAAUUGAUUUCUGAUUAUGGACAUAUCCAUUCUAUUCUGGUUCGAGUGAUUACAAGUUUUCCAGUGCGGAUUAAGUAUGAUUGUCAGGCCUGGCACACACACUCUGUCCCCCACCCCCUUCCAAAACUCAGCGAGGGUUGUGUCUUCCAUACUUGGAUUCAGUUCUGUCUUCACAUUAAUUUAAUGCAGGGGAGACAGCAAAAGCAUAGUCCACAGGUUCCCAACUGACAUUAUUUGGUAUAAACUGCAGGGGGCUGCUUACAACCCCCAGAAUUACGACGUUCCAUGUUUGGGGCUAUAAUUUCUUGUAUCAUUUUAAUGGUCAUUUUACAAACUCCAUCAAUUCUUUUUAACAGCUCUGAGUCCCCAUAGGA